CCUACGGGAGGCAGCAGUGGGGAAUAUUGGACAAUGGGGGCAACCCUGAUCCAGCCAUGCCGCGUGUGUGAAGAAGGCCCUCGGGUUGUAAAGCACUUUCAGUGGGGAAGAACGCCUGGUGGUUAAUACCCAUCAGGAAAGACAUCACUCACAGAAGAAGCACCGGCUAACUCCGUGCCAGCAGCCGCGGUAAUACGGAGGGUGCGAGCGUUAAUCGGAAUUACUGGGCGUAAAGCGCGCGUAGGUGGCUUGAUAAGCCGGUUGUGAAAGCCCCGGGCUCAACCUGGGAACGGCAUCCGGAACUGUCAAGCUAGAGUGCAGGAGAGGAAGGUAGAAUUCCCGGUGUAGCGGUGAAAUGCGUAGAGAUCGGGAGGAAUACCAGUGGCGAAGGCGGCCUUCUGGACUGACACUGACACUGAGGUGCGAAAGCGUGGGUAGCAAACAGGAUUAGAUACCCCAGUAGUC
rnacentral:rRNA from 1 species